rnacentral:rRNA from 1 species
UACGGGGGGAGCAAGCGUUGUUCGGAUUUACUGGGCGUAAAGGGCGCGUAGGCGGCGUGACAAGUCACUUGUGAAAUCUCCGGGCUUAACCCGGAACGGUCAAGUGAUACUGUCGUGCUAGAGUACAGAAGGGGCAACUGGAAUUCUCGGUGUAGCGGUGAAAUGCGUAGAUAUUGAGAGGAACACCUGCGGCGAAGGCGGGUUGCUGGGCUGAUACUGACGCUGAGGCGCGAAAGCCAGGGGAGCGAACGGG